AAAAAAGAGUAAGGUUGAGUAUAGUAAGAGUGAGACAGGGAAGGAGGAGCCAGUAAAGGGUGCUCUACCGCUGUUAAGGAGCUCAGCUCCUUGGGGACGUGGGAAAAGCAUACAGAAUGCUUCCUAGACUUUUCUAUCUGAAGGACAGGCGGCUGCAGCAUCAAUCCAUGGGCUGCCAUCCCUCAUUGUUUGCGGGUUAACCCCAGAGGCAUUAAGCUCCCUGAUCUUCCUGACUGUGCCAGGAUGAGAGCUGAGUAGACGUCUGUGGCUUCAAAGAAAUCCCUAAAUCACAAAAAUUAAGAAAUGUCAUAGCAUGCCCUUGAGAUGGCAGCGAGCCUGGAGCUGCCCAUCGCAGCUGUGGCUGAAAUCAGAGGUGGGUGGAGGAGAUGUGGUGGAAGGCACAAAAAUCGUCUGCUACAAUCAGGAAAGUAAAAGCCAUUUUCCCAUGUACCCUUUGAUUGUCACCAGCCAGAAAUGUGUCACAUCGCCACCCCUAGCUGGAAGGGAACGUGAGGGGUGAGCAGUCUUGGUGGAGCGGUCUGUGAGUAAGGGUAGAAUGGGAAUGGAUAUCGAGCAGGCAAUCAGCACAGCCUGCCCAGUGUCAAGUCUACCAAAGUAGCCACUGUCUUCUCUUUCCCCCUGUAGAGCUCCCCACUCCCCCUAAAUAUCCAUGAGUCAUGCAACAUGGGGGCAGUUAUGUUGGGAUCUACCAGCUGACUUCCCACCAGCAACUUGUCAACAUUUCACUUUGCUGAUUCCUAUACCCUCGUGCCCCAUGCAGCGUGUGGAAGCGGUAGCCGCCAUAUAAUCCGCCCUUUAAAUAAAUGCUACCCACCCUCUUCCACAAAUUUAGUUUCAUGUGGUAAUCCUUGAGAAGAGCACAAGGAAUGGGAUGGCCCAUCAUGUUGGCAAGCCGUGGGCUAAGCUCUUGCCCUUCACUUUUGCUACUUGACCGCUUGACACGUGGCAAUAUUCCCGGGUCGAAUUGCUCCAGGAAGAUGAGAGUCUGUAAGAGUUUUCUUGGAACAAAUGAAAACCAGAAGACAGACAUGGCCUCCCUCCUGGCUUUCCGUUCUUUGCCUGGCUUUCCUCUGGGAAGGAAUCCUCAAGACUCUCCCAACUUGAUUUACUCCUUUCCAGAAACCUCCAACACAGGAAGAGGUUGUCGGUGGGAAAUUCAGUCCGGUCUCUUACCAUUUUCUCCUGUUCCUUUCUCUGUGGGGAAACAAUCGUGCUGAGACUGUUACCGCUGGUGGCCAUGGAAACAGAAUAAUUGACAUAACAGUGUGAAAGUCAUAAACUUAAUGAAACUUUAGUUUUUAUUGCACUUCACCCUCAUCUCUGAUUAAAUCAGAUCUGCAUAAUGUGAAGAUAUUAAAUUUCCAUGAUUCUCAUUUUCUCUCCCCUGCCAAUAGGAAGAAGGCUCUGUUGUGAGGGAACCCUGCCGGUGGGCUGGGAAUAUCAUGGCUCUAGAUUUUGCUGAAAAAUGUUUUUUAACAUUGGUGCUGGCUGGCCCACAAAGCAAAGCCAACUUUUGAGAAGUGGUGGGAUUCUGGCUCCAGGGAGAUACAGCUGCUUUCCUCUGGCAGAUGGAGACUUUGUGAAGGUUUGGAGAUACCAGACAUCAGUGGGUCAGAGCAUCAGGGAGACACAUUGAUUCAAGAACCAGGUCCAGAGCACUGCAUCUGGGCCAGGACUGUGAGAGAGCCGGAGACUCGGAGAGGAAUGAGAUAGAGCACCGCUUGCAACAAAAACCAACAAAAAUGGGGACUGGGAAUGGAAUCCGUGCUGGCCAAACAGUAAACCACUGUGUGACUGCCUUUCAAGCAUCAUGCUAGGUUCUCCAGAGAUUUGAAGAUUAAUGAUAUUGAUGAUGAUGCUAUCAGAGCUUUCACUCCCACAAGUGCAGUAUGAAAGAUCAUUUGCCAGUUUUCCCAACACCAUUUGUUGAAUAAUCUACCCCUUAUUUACUGAUCUGAAAUGCCAACUUCAUCAUGACACACAUUCUCAUGUGGUCGUGGAUCCAUCACUGAGCUCCAGACAAAGCUCCACUGGAAACGGGAUAUGACUUUCCAGUUGAUACCAUGAAGAAAUAUCAGCUCACUGGUCACAAUCCAGUGACCAGUCCAGUCCCCUGGUCACAGUCCAGUGGUUUGAACGAGCUGUCUUUUGAGGAGUAGGAGAUUCGGGCAGAAGAUGGGAGAAGACGGAAGUCACUUCAAGCCCAGUUUAACGAGUCCAAAGAGGUGACAGAGAAACCAGGUAAGCCCCUUUCCGCUGCCUCAAAUUCUCACACAUCCCUCGGGAAGUCUUUCAUUGUUUAAACAGAGAUAAUUUAAUAAGGUAUGGCAAUGUUAGGAGUUACAAGCAAAAACAUGGUUUCUUAGUUCAGCUCUGGGUUUUGCAGGGUAGAGUGACGUGGCUAUGUAAGUGGUGUUGUUAUGAAUAGAUGAGAGAGGAAGUCUUUAAUUUGGUAAUCCUAAUACACGUACAUAACACCUUCUGUUACUGUCCUACAGCCCUUCAGUAUUUUGUUCUAUCUUUUUCAUUCUUUUUCCUCUUUGAACGUCAGUUUUUGAAGUUUCUAUUGAUGCCUUCAAGCUCAUUGAUUCUUUCCUCGGCCGAGUCCAGUUUAUUGAUGAGUCCAUCAAAGGCGUUCUUCAUUCCUGUCAUGGCGUUUUGAUCUCUAGCCUUCCCUUUUGAUUCUUUCUUGGAGUUUCCAUCUCACUGCUUCCAUUCCCAAUCUGCCAAUCUGUUCUUGCAUGUUGUCUACUUUUUCCAUUAGAGCCCUUGGAAUACGAAUCAUAGUCAUUUUAAAUUCCCAGUCUGCUAAUUCCAACAUCUCUGCCACAUGUGAGUUUGGUUCUGAUGUUUGCCCUGUCUCUUCAACCCGUGUCAUUUUUUGUUUUGUUCCAUUUUUUGUCUCUUAGUAUGCUUUGUUAUUUUUUGUUGCAAGUUUGACGUGAUAAACUAGGUAAAAGGAACCCAGUACUGGUUCCUGCAGAGUUUUCUUCUCCUGAUCUUCAGCUCCAGCAAGGUGUGAUUCUUUGUCUACCUGU